AUUGAACGCUGGCGGCAUGCUUUACACAUGCAAGUCGAACGGCAGCACGGGCUUCGGCCUGGUGGCGAGUGGCGAACGGGUGAGUAAUAUAUCGGAACGUACCCAGAAGUGGGGGAUAACGUAGCGAAAGUUACGCUAAUACCGCAUACGAUCUAUGGAUGAAAGCAGGGGACCGCAAGGCCUUGUGCUCCUGGAGCGGCCGAUAUCUGAUUAGCUAGUUGGUGAGGUAAAGGCUGACCAAGGCGACGAUCAGUAGCUGGUCUGAGAGGACGACCAGCCACACUGGAACUGAGACACGGUCCAGACUCCUACGGGAGGCAGCAGUGGGGAAUUUUGGACAAUGGGCGCAAGCCUGAUCCAGCAAUGCCGCGUGAGUGAAGAAGGCCUUCGGGUUGUAAAGCUCUUUUGCCAGGGAAGAAACGGUAGAGGCUAAUAUCCUUUGCUAAUGACGGUACCUGAAGAAUAAGCACCGGCUAACUACGUG
rnacentral:rRNA from 1 species